AGUCACAAGCAAUGGAGGAGAAAGGGGAAAGGAUCAGGAGAUUGUGGGAAAAACCAGACUCCCUCGCUACCGUGGGCUGAUUGAUGACAGUGAGCUCAGCACCGAGGCGUGCACAUGUGUUAGUGCAAUCGUUGCAUCAAAAUCACCUCGAGUCACAUUGACGGCUAUGCCAGCAGACAUUCGGACACACAAAGGCUCAUGUGGUGGGAGUAGGAGUCCGCUCCGAUUGCUGUGACACGCAGAAGCACAUGGGGAGGAAGUGUCUUGCUCCACUUUGCCGCAAUUGCCUGAACUCACGAGAGAUUAGGAGGACACCAGAUUUAACAGCAGAUCUCCCAGAAUUCAAGAGGAGGAGUGGAUGAAGGAGCAGAAGGAACCCUGGGAUGCCUGUUGAUGCAAGCAUUCAUCAAAUAAUUCAGCUCCAAAAUAACCUUGCAUUUACAUGUGUUCAUAACUGGAAGGAAAUUCAGGCAUCAAGGGGUUAAAAACACAUUCCAAGUGAUGCAUUAAUUCAAUCCAACUUUAUUGUUCAAACCCCAUAAGGACAAAAAGCUACGAAUGUAGAACCCAAACUGAUAGGUGUAAGUUUAUAUCAAUAAAAAACUUUGAAAAAAUGAAAUUCUGUAUUCUGUUACACAGUCAUCUUAAAUAACAUUUGUCUGUCUUUUUUUCAUUAAUUAAUGAGAAUCCUUUUUGCUUGCUGGGAUUCAAACAGCUGAGCGUCCCACAUUGUGCUGGCUGUCUUUUAACAGGCGUACUGUCAGACGAUUAUCUAACCAAAGCGCACAAGACGAGC